rnacentral:lncRNA from 1 species
AAAAAAAAAAAAAAAAGGAAAACUGUGAACCAUUUAUCACGACGUUAAGUUACUAAAGAAGAAAAUGAUGGAGAAGUAUUCUCUAUUUAUUGAUAAUCCCAGUAUAAAAUGGGGAUAGGCGAGUACUUUUUCCUGUUCUUUGCACGUGCUUGUUUUUUUAGUAUAACGGAUAUCCGUCAUUUCCGGAAAAUUUCCUAUAGCUUUAUCGGAUAUUUGAAGCUUAAAGAUCUGUUUCGACAACAGCCAGCAGUGGGCACCACUGGAUGGGUAACCAACGGACAUCGGAUCAAUACCGUCAGCUCUCGCCUGUGUAUAUCAGACUUUCUCUAGCUUUUGGUAUCGACCGAAUAGCGCCAGAGGAGGUUAUUGCAAAGCAUCCAUCAACGGCUGUAGUCAGACUCUGCGGUUCAGUCUUAAGACGUAAUAAGAACUGGCAAGAUAUGUGAGUGGUGGGAUGACUCUUCCGAGACAAACUCUUGUAUCCAUAGCAACCGAUCAACUAGAAACAGAAAGUUACCAUUACAGUCUCUCAGCUUGAAAUAUUUAGCACCAGUUCCCUUGGCAGUAUCGAGUUUGCCGAAUUCCGAAGAAUGAAAAUUAAUUUAAAUUCAAAUAAAUUUUACAACAGAUUAAUUAAAAUGUCGUUUAUUUAUUAAGGCGAAUGCAUUAAGGUUAUUUAAUGGCAUGUAUUAGCGACGGAAACCCG